ACUUCUCAAAAUGGUGAGCACAUGUGCUUUUACUAAACACGCCGGCAGGAAAUGUUGCUUUCAAGCAAGCACCUCAACGUAUCAUGAAUGUGCAACAGAAUAACUGAGGUGGUUACCGUUCCCUGCCGAUAUAUGGACAAGCACAAGCAUCACAGCUGCUUUGCAUUCAUGAUCCAUUUCUCUUCAAAAUUCGGGAUGUGGAAAAAGGACCCCAAAGAGGAGAAUAGGAUAAGAUGGGCUGAUCUGAAGAACAUAUUAUGGACAUUAAAAGGAUCUCAAGAUCAUCAAGAAGAACUCAUGAACUGUUCAUAA
ensembl:lncRNA